rnacentral:rRNA from 1 species
UACGGGGGGAGCAAGCGUUGUUCGGAUUUACUGGGCGUAAAGGGCGCGUAGGCGGCCACCGCAAGUCGACUGUGAAAUCUCCGGGCUUAACCCGGAAAGGUCAGCCGAUACUGCGGGGCUUGAGUGCGGCAGAGGAGACUGGAAUUCCUGGUGUAGCAGUGAAAUGCGUAGAUAUCAGGAGGAAUACCGAUGGCGAAGGCAGGUCUCUGGGCUGACACUGACGCUCAUGCACGAAAGCGUGGGGAGCAAACAGG